GACGAACGCUGGCGGCGUGCUUAACACAUGCAAGUCGAACGGAAAGGCCCUGCUUUUGUGGGGUGCUCGAGUGGCGAACGGGUGAGUAACACGUGAGUAACCUGCCCUUGACUUUGGGAUAACUUCAGGAAACUGGGGCUAAUACCGGAUAGGAGCUCCUGCCGCAUGGUGGGGGUUGGAAAGUUUCGGCGGUUGGGGAUGGACUCGCGGCUUAUCAGCUUGUUGGUGGGGUAGUGGCUUACCAAGGCUUUGACGGGUAGCCGGCCUGAGAGGGUGACCAGCCACAUUGGGACUGAGAUACGGCCCAGACUCCUACGGGAGGCAGCAGUGGGGAAUAUUGCACAAUGGGCGGAAGCCUGAUGCAGCAACGCCGCGUGCGGGAUGACGGCCUUCGGGUUGUAAACCGCUUUCGCCUGUGACGAAGCGUGAGUGACGGUAAUGGGUAAAGAAGCACCGGCUAACUACGUG
rnacentral:rRNA from 1 species